UGUGGAAACCUCUCCCUAGAGGAGAAACCUGAAAGAAAAAGUCUAAAAAGCACAAUGUUGCUAACGGUGGGCUUGAGCUGUUACAAUUGAUAUUAGAGCUAGACGCCGGGCGGUGUGCUAGUGAGGAUGCUGGGCCCCGAAGAGGAGUGGAUUUUGAGAUACCACUUCGAUUGGAAAGAUGAACGAGUGUCAACGACUCUAGACCCUGAAGGGAGUGGAUUGUGAGAUCCCACAUCGAUUGGAGAGAUGAACGAGAGACAA